rnacentral:rRNA from 1 species
AAUCUUCCGCAAUGGACGAAAGUCUGACGGAGCGAUGCCGCGUGAGUGAUGAAGGUCUUCGGACCGUACAACUCUGUUGUUGGGGAAGCACAAGUAUCGGAGUAAUGUGCCGGUACCUUGACGGUACCUUACCAGAAAGCCCCUGCCAACUACCUGCCAGCCGCCGCGGUAAGACGUAGGGGGCAAGCGUGGUCCGAAAUUAUUGGGCGUAAAGGGCACGCAGGCGGGUAUUUAAGUCGGACGUAAAAUCUUGUGGCUAAACCACAAACAGUAAUUGGAAACUGGAUAACUUGAGUACAGAAGAGGAGAGUGGAAUUCCAAGUGUAGCGGUGAAAUGCGUAGAGAUGUGGAGGAACACCAGUGGCGAAGGCGGCUCUCUGGUCUGUAACUGACGCUGAGGUGCGAAAGCGUGGGUAGCGAACA